AUAACUUUGUUUGACAUGGCUACUUUAGUGAACAUUCAACGCUGUCGGUGAGUUUGGUAUCUAAAGGCAAACCAUCGAUCGUUGACUGUACAUUACGGCAAUGCCAGUAACUUCUGUCUCCA
rnacentral:pre_miRNA from 14 species